rnacentral:lncRNA from 1 species
AGUCUCUCGCCAUGCAGUCCUGUGCUCUCCUCUGCUUCUCAUCCAGGGAUGUUUGCUCCUGUUCACAGAGAGAAGCAGAAGGGGCAUGGAAGAGGGAGAAGGGAAGAUUUAAUCAAGAGUUUCCAAGAUCUGGACCUCUCUCCACCCUCAACUCCCACCGCCAGCCAAAACUGAGCAGUGCCCGAUUCACAAGACAGCUAUCAAAGAGGAGGUUGAAAUGAAAAGCCAGUGAAGAACAGAAUUUUGAAAAAUUACCCAGAUAUUCUAUCAUAUUUUUCUCAAGAAGAUUAGGGACCUGCAACAAUGGAAAACGUAAAAGAAAAACAAGAAACUCUGUGUCAGUUUUUGACUGGAUUGGAUAUUUUAAUUGUUAAUUUAAUAUAAUUAAUUUAAUAUUUAAUUUUAUUGGCUGUAUGUGAUAGUUUGACUCAAGGUUCUCUUCAGACUAUGCUGUCUUUAUUAUACAAUAGAUGAUGGUGGUUCAAAAUAUGCAAACUUUCCAUUUCACAUGCAACACUAAUGAAAAUAUUUUCUCUUUGAAUUUACUUGAAAAUAUAGCCCUCUUGUGGACACAGAAAGCUCAG